GAUGAACGCUGGCGGCGUGCCUAAUACAUGCAAGUCGAGCGAACAGACGAGGAGCUUGCUCCUCUGACGUUAGCGGCGGACGGGUGAGUAACACGUGGAUAACCUACCUAUAAGACUGGGAUAACUUCGGGAAACCGGAGCUAAUACCGGAUAAUAUAUUGAACCGCAUGGUUCAAUAGUGAAAGACGGUUUUGCUGUCACUUAUAGAUGGAUCCGCGCCGCAUUAGCUAGUUGGUAAGGUAACGGCUUACCAAGGCGACGAUGCGUAGCCGACCUGAGAGGGUGAUCGGCCACACUGGAACUGAGACACGGUCCAGACUCCUACGGGAGGCAGCAGUAGGGAAUCUUCCGCAAUGGGCGAAAGCCUGACGGAGCAACGCCGCGUGAGUGAUGAAGGUCUUCGGAUCGUAAAACUCUGUUAUUAGGGAAGAACAAAUGUGUAAGUAACGAUGCACGUCUUGACGGUACCUAAUCAGAAAGCCACGGCUAACUACGUG
rnacentral:rRNA from 1 species